rnacentral:rRNA from 1 species
GAUGAACGCUGGCGGCGUGCCUAAUACAUGCAAGUCGAGCGAACAGACGAGGAGCUUGCUCCUCUGACGUUAGCGGCGGACGGGUGAGUAACACGUGGAUAACCUACCUAUAAGACUGGGAUAACUUCGGGAAACCGGAGCUAAUACCGGAUAAUAUAUUGAACCGCAUGGUUCAAUAGUGAAAGACGGUUUUGCUGUCACUUAUAGAUGGAUCCGCGCCGCAUUAGCUAGUUGGUAAGGUAACGGCUUACCAAGGCAACGAUGCGUAGCCGACCUGAGAGGGUGAUCGGCCACACUGGAACUGAGACACGGUCCAGGCUCCUACGGGAGGCAGCAGUAGGGAAUCUUCCGCAAUGGGCGAAAGCCUGACGGAGCAACGCCGUGUGAGUGAUGAAGGUCUUCGGAUCGUAAAACUCUGUUAUUAGGGAAGAACAAAUGUGUAAGUAACUAUGCACGUCUUGACGGUACCUAAUCAGAAAGCCACGGCUAACUACGUG